AGUCCUAUGCCUGUAAAGUGAUUUGAACGCCAAUCGGCUGCACUCCGGUACUGUACCUGCACCACGAAUAUGACAUCGGUUUUCCUCUAUAUAACCAUUGUAUUUUUUACGCUACUUACCUAUAAUGGUUUGGCAGAGAACCAUAAACCAACCAUUGAAUUAAAUUGUAAUGCCGAUCAUAACCCCAUAUGUACUAACAUCAUGGAUUGUAGAUGGACUGGCUUCUUGAAAGACGUUGUAUUUGAUUGCCCGCUUGAUAAUGACAAGUUUCAAUGUUCAGUGGAGACGGAUGAAGUAAUGAAAUACGAUGAACAACCACAAACAGUACCAGUGGCACCGAUAUGCAAAGACAAUAGAAGCUGUGGAUUCCCUACAACAUUUGUCGGUGAAAGUGUAAGAUGCACCAUACGUAUGAAAAUACAGUCACCAAUAACAUCAAGAGGACCAGAAAAGAUGGAAGAUGGAAAAGGUUUGGCAGAGAACCAUAAACCAACCAUUGAAUUAAAUUGUAAUGCCGAUCAUAACCCCAUAUGUACUAACAUCAUGGAUUGUAGAUGGACUGGCUUCUUGAAAGACGUUGUAUUUGAUUGCCCGCUUGAUAAUGACAAGUUUCAAUGUUCAGUGGAGACGGAUGAAGUAAUGAAAUACGAUGAACAACCACAAACAGUACCAAUGGCACCGAUAUGCAAAGACAAUAGAAGCUGUGGAUUCCCUACAACAUUUGUCGGUGAAAGUGUAAGAUGCACCAUACGUAUGAAAACACAACUACCAACAACAUCAAGAGAACCAGACAAUCUGAAGAAUAAAACAGAGCCAAAACACAAUAUAACCUGGUGGAUUUGGUUAAUAAUUUGCCUUGGCAUUAGCGUUGGCAUUGGUUUUGGGAUGAAUCAAUGUUAGGAGAAAAAGGAUUAAUUUGAGACACGUGAUGAGGCGCAUAUAGAAGUGGAUGGAAUGGUAUAAAAAACAAAUGAGGAGGUAUUAUUGCAGGGGUUAACCUAUGGGUCCACUAGUAUGAGCCAUCAUCACCAUUCAGCCAGCAGGCUAUUUUAAUACUAAUCUCAUUGGGGUAAAUUAAUCACAUUUUUUAAAAGAUAUAUAAAAUCUGCAUGGAUUAGUGUUUGCCAUCAUGUGUGAUGCAGUGAUGAAACACCUGAAAGAAUGCCUACAUUAACAUACAGUACCAGUCAAAAGUUUGGAGACACCUACUCAUUCCAGGGUUUUUCUUAAUCUUUUACUAUUUUCUACAUUGUAGAGUAAUAGUAAAGAAGACAUCAAAACUAUGGAAUAACACAUAUGAAAUCAUGUAGUAAGCAAAAAAAGUGUUCAACAAAUCCAAAUAUAUUUUAGAUUUGAAAUUCUUCAAAGUAGCCACCCUUUGCCUUGAUGACAGCUUGGCACACUCUUGGCAUUCUCUCAACCAGCUUCAUGAGGAAUGCUUGAAGAAGUUCCCACAUAUGCUGAGCAGUUGUUGGCUGCUUUUCCUCCACUCUGCGGUCCAACUCAUCCCAAACAAUCUCAAUUGGGUUGAGUUCGGGUGAUUGUGGAGGACAGGUCAUCUGAUGCAGCACUCCAUCACUCUCCUUGGUCAAAUAGACCUUACACAGCUUGGAGGUGUGUUUUGGGUCAUUGUCCUGUUGAAAACAAAUGAUAGUCCCACUAACCUUACAGUGAAAUGCUUACUUACAGGCCCCUAACCAACAAUGCAGUUUAAAAAAUAUGAAUAAGAAUAAGAAAUAAAAGUAACAAGUAGUUAAAGAGCAGCAGUAAAAUAACAAUAGCGAGACUAUAUACAGGGGGUACCGGUACAGAGUCAAUGUGCAGGGGCACUGGUUAGUUGAGGUAAUAUGUACAUGUAGGUAGAGUUAUUAAAGUGACUAUGCAUAGAUAAUAACAGAGUAGCAACGGCAUAAUAGAGGGGAGGGGUGGGGGGCAAUGCAAAUAGUCUGGGUAGCCAUUUUAUUAGAUGUUCAGGAGUCUAAUGUUUUGGGGAUAGAAGCUGUUUAGAAGCCUCUUGGACCUAGACUUGGCACUCCGGUACCGCUUGCUGUGUGGUAGCAGAGAGAACAGUCUAUGUUUUGGGGGGCUGGAGUCUUUAACAAUUUUAGGGCCUUCCUCUGACACACCCCCUGGUAUAGAGGUCCUGGAUGGCAGGAAGCCCUCUGUAAUGCCUUGCGGUCGUUGCCAUACCAGGCAAUGGUGCAACCAGUCAGGAUACUGUUGAUGGUGCAGCUGUAAAACCUUUUGAGGAUCUGAGAACCCAUGCCAAAUCUUUUCAGUCUCCUGAGGGGGAAUAGGUUUUGUGCCUUCUUCACGACUGUCUUGGUGUGCUUGGACCAUGUUAGUUUGUUGGUGAUGUGGACGCCAAGGAACUUGAAGCUGCAGGUCCGUCGAUGAGAAUGGGGUCCGGUCCUCCUUUUCCUGUAGUCCACAAUCAUCUCCUUUGACUUGAUCACAUUGAGGGAGAGGUUAUUGUCCUGGCUCCACAUGAAGCUGGUUGAGCUGUCAUCAAGGCAAAGGGUGGCUACUUUGAAGAAUCUCAAAUAUAAAAUAUAUUUUGAUUUGUUUGACACUUUUGGUUACUACAUGAUUCCAUAUGUGUUAGUUACUUCAUAGUUUUGAUGUCUUCACUAUUAUUCUACAAUGUAGAAAAUAGUCCAAAUGAAGAAAAACCCUGGAAUGAGUAGCUGUGUCCAAACUGUUGACUGGUACUGUACCUUAACAGAAAGUUUGAAAAUGGUUUACAGUAGUUACUACAAAUGUUAUUAUAAGGAGUAAUUAAUACGACCGCCACAAAAUGACAUACGAUCAAAGGCUUCUCCCUCUUCUAUUGUUAGUUUAAUAAUCUGAUAAUAUGUGAAGCAUGACUCAGGUGGAACGUGGGAGGUUUCCUAACAUACACUCACUUAAUCUACUCCCCAUGACUCAACCUUACUGUUAACUGCUGGGGCUCAAACUGGAUAUAGCUGUUUUAUUGUUUGUGACACUAUUAACUACACUAACUGCAUUAAUCAGUUUUUUCAAUUUUGCCUUCAUCCUAACCCCAUUUACAAUACUUUCUUCAAGAUACCAAACAAAUAACAUAAUAUUUGGUUAAGAUAUAAUAAGAUGAUCAUUUUAGAAGAGAGCAAAGGACUUUUUUUGUCCAUGUCACUGGAAUGAUGGAAUGAACUGUAUUUGUCCAUACAGUGUAGUUCCUGUUUUGCCUAACCCUCUCCUACCUAGGACUUAUUGUUUACUACUUUUAAAUAUUUGUGCUCAAUUUUAAUUAUUGAAAUGUUUUUUUUAUCUGUAAUUUAGGAUGUUAUAAUUGUGGGGAUUUCUUCUACUGUUGUUUUUGAUUUACAGUACCUACGGUGCAUUUUGUGCUUGCUUCAUUAUCCUUAUUGGGAUGCACUCAUUGCUUGAUCAUCAGCUAAAUUAUUGAAUUGUUCAUUGCAAUUCUAAUGUUACAUUUUAGAUGUUCAAGCAACUUUAAAUAAGGUGAAGAUUUCCUUUCUUAAUUUAAUCGAAAAAAUAACAUUUGAAAUAACCGUAAAUAUGUGAAAACUGUGGAAAAAACAAGCUACAGUCUAAUAUGCAUAUGGAAUUAUAUUGGUGCAGGCACAUGAUUCUACCUUGCACCUAGCAACGCCCUUAAACUGUGAUGAUGUAACAGAACCUCAUGUGCCAUAAUGCUCAGGGAGAUUAGCAGACAUUAAACCAAAUGAAUAAAGCUGGGAUUCAAUCAUU